rnacentral:lncRNA from 10 species
CGAGUUCAGGCUGUGGAUUGGCUGAUCCCUCAUGAAUAUGUAGAUUACUCUCACCCUUCACCUCGCUCUGGAAAAACCAGCCACCAUGUUGUAAGGAUGCUCAAGUAGCACUAUGGAGAUUCACACGUGGCAAAGAGCUGAGGCCUCCCACCAACAGCCACAUGAGGGAGCCAGAGUAGGAGUGGCUCCUCCAGCCCCAGUCGAACCUUCAGAUGUGACAGACUUGGCUGCUGACAGUUUGCAAUCUCAUGAGACCCUGAGCCAGAACCACCCAGCUAAAUCAGUCCUGGACUCCUGAUCAACAGAAAUGACCAAAGAGAGGCGUUUUGAACAUUAAGACGCUUUGCUGCUUCUCACCUGAAACACGUAACAGGAACACCAACCUCUUCAGCCGCGGGAAAUCUUCUUUGACACAAAACUCAAACCGAGUCAACCCAAAGUUCCAAGUUCUUUGCUUUCUCUUCUGUGUGUGUGUUGGUUUGUCCCAAAAGUCAGUUUGCAAGUUGAAACUUCAUGAAAUUACUCGUAGCAGAAAUAAAGUACAUUGUACAAAUCACGCAGGUCUGCGAUGUGGAGUAUAAAAAUGGUAUUUACAGCCAGUAAACAUGGACCAGAAAGACACGUACAACUGCACACCGGCACACACUCCCAAGCAGGCCCUCGGGGGCCUCGGCGGGCGCCGCGGACACGGGUGAGGCCCCCUCGAGGCAGAUUGGCAUGGCACACGCUUGCACACGGGGACACACGGAACACAGGCACGCUAGAGGAGAGUCUCGAAACAAUUAUCAAACUCUGGAAUAUCGAAACAAGUUGGUUCAGAAGAUUUUUU